rnacentral:lncRNA from 1 species
AAAAUCAUGUGUGUAGUCCACUAAUGUUUGUGGAAAGACAAACCCUCUGGAGAAGCAAGCCAAAGCCUGUCUCUUGUUCCUGUGUCCUGGUUUAGGGCAAAUUUGGGGGAAAACCUCCAAUGGAGCCCCCUCCAGGAAGCAAACACAUGUCCCCCCCCAACCUGUUCAGGAAGAGAUUUCUAUGAGAGAAGUGAAAAAAACCUGUUUAUUUAACAGGCAAAGCAUUACCCAGCACCAGUGAACACUACCAGAUUACAAAACCUCUCGCUGCUCUGAAGAGAUGACAAAUUCAGAGGGUCUCUUUCCUGUGGCUCCCGGUAGUCCAUGGGUGCAAGCUCCCGGUGCUCCCCCGAGUCCCCAGUCCAGAGCAGGUUCAAAUUGUUCCAAGGAAAGGGAAAGAAAACAGUCCAGGAAGACCUCUCUGCUCUGGCUAGCUGGAAAGCCAAGGUGAUCUGUCCUUUGUCUGUCUGUGCUGUAGUCAAAACUCCCGAUGCGAGGGGAGCAAGUACAGUCUGAUAACAGACUCGGUGCUUCUUCUCCACUCACUUUUACUCUUAGACGAAGUUUUAAGGAUACAAAACCUAUUUCUGGGCUAGGUGGAUGAAUGGGGAUACAACUUAACAUCACAGUCACCCCAGGACAUCCUGUGAUGCUCUUGCUGGCUGACCUGAGGAUUUGGAUCAAGGCAAUGAAAAUUCACCAUCACUACAAUUCAGCAUGUACCCUCAUCAAUUUCAGCUCUGGAAUUUCAUUAGGCGUGGAAUUUUUGAAGAUAUUCAAGGGAUGGAGUGGAAGCAGAGACCAAAGUUUUGCUAAUACACCUGCAAGUUUCAUGCUUCACAUUUUCCCCUGUUGCUCAUGUGCUGUGCUGCCCUGUGGGCCUUUUCCCACAGCUCUGGUGGUACAUUGUGUUGAUUGUGUGCACUCUGACCCCUGUGCUGGCGGAAGACUCGGCAAAAUCAUUUGGGAGUGGAGGUUCAGACUGGAUAUUAGGAAAAAUUUCUAUACUGAAAGACUGAUUAAGCAUUGGAACAAGCUCUCCAGGAAAAUGGAGGAGUCACCAUUCCUACAAGUGUCCAAAAAAUGA